CUCAUCACCCUUCCCCUUUCCUGCCCACCCCCAACUCCCGCUCGGGGACACAAAGAUCCCAUUGAUUUCUGUCCCAACAGCACCUGCUAAGACUGAGCUCUGCCCAGCUCCCAAUACGGAGUGGUGAGGAUUGAGGACAGCAGAGCCCUAUGGAUCCCAAAGGCCACACUCACCCUCCAUAUCCCACCUCCUCCUCGGGGACUCUACCAACCCUUGCUUUGGGGAGCAGUGCUUUUCCCUAGGAAAGGGGGUGUACAGCCGGACAACAGGCCAAUGCCCCCGACUCUUCUCCCUGCACAAUGCUCCUGCUCCUGUCCCUCUAUUUCUACCUAACUCCCCUGCCCAAUGGCGGGAGGCCCCAGACACUGCAGGCAUGGUGGGGGCCAGGAACCUCGUUGGCUGGAGCAUGUUUCCUGGUGAUCCUGAGGCAGCGGGGGACCCAGCCUUCCAUACCCUGCGGACUUGAUCUGACUCCAGAUACCAUCAGUGAGAUGCACGUAUAUCUGGCCCUGCCCUGCCAGGGCUGAAAACACAUCCUGCUCUAGGCGGAUGGUACCUGCCCCUGGCCACAAGCCUGCACCUGGCAUGCAGCUCUGCCACUGACAGGCCUUCAGCAAGGGUGGAAACUGACAGCUGCCCUCCCCCUCCCUACUUCUGAACAGCCAGAGGGCUCGGGGUCUCCACUAACACCUCCAUGCUGCCAGAGCAGCGCAUCUCCCUCCUGACGCCAGCUCCCACACCAACUCCCGGGGCGCCCCUGCCUCCCCAACACCCUGAAUUCCGGGAAGCUCUUGGGAUCACCUCCUCUACACCCUCCAGCCCUCCUGACCCCCUCACCGUAGUGCCAAGGAGUAAGAAAGGGUGACGCUGGCGUCGGUGGG
rnacentral:lncRNA from 1 species